UACGAAGGGGGCUAGCGUUGCUCGGAAUUACUGGGCGUAAAGCGCACGUAGGCGGCUUCUUAAGUCGGAGGUGAAAUCCUGGAGCUCAACUCCAGAACUGCCUUCGAUACUGGGAAGCUCGAGUCCGGGAGAGGUGAGUGGAACUGCGAGUGUAGAGGUGAGAUUCGUAGAUAUUCGCAAGAACACCAGUGGCGAAGGCGGCUCACUGGCCCGGUACUGACGCUGAGGUGCGAAAGCGUGGGGAGCAGACAGG
rnacentral:rRNA from 1 species